CUUUUUGUUGUUGUCAGGCACCCCUUAGCUCAGAUGAACUCUCUCCUGAAGACGUGCAGAUACUGUCCUACAUCACUUUGAUCGGCUGUGGGAUUUCUCUCACUGCUCUGGCCUUCACUGUUGUUCUUUUCUUCACACACAGUAAAAUCCGAGCUGAUGAUUCCAAAAAGAUCCAUAUCAACCUUGUGUUUGCCUUGAUCUUCCUCAAUCUACAUCUUCUACCCAAUGAGAAGGUCGCCACACUGUCCUUGCCGGGGCUUUGUCUUUACAUGGCUCUCGCUCUCCACUACUCUCUGUUGGCCACCUUCAGCUGGAUGGCUUUGGAGGGGUUCCACCUCUACCUCCUCAUAGUCAAAGUCUUCAACAUCCAUACCAAUAGAUACCUGCUGAAGAUCAGUGUGAUAGGGUGGGGUGAGUGGGUUUAUGUAGUUUAAGAAACUGAACCUGAAGAAGAGUGACUUCAUCUGUUUUGUUUUUUUGUUUCAGGAGUUCCUGCAGUCAUUGUUUCAAUUGUGGUGUCUAUAAAGAAGGAGUAUUACGGACUCUCUACUUUGAACAACAGUAGUUUGUGCUACAUAACUGACAGGACAGUGGAGCUGGUGACCACGACGGGACUGUUCGCCCUGUUGUUCGUCUUUAACACAGUCAUGUUCUCUUUAACAGUGAGAUAUCUAAUAACUAGCCGCCGUCUCAACAAUUUUGGACCAAUGAAAAAGAACAGAGCGAAGGACAUGGGCCUGCUGCUGUUCCUCAUCUCUCUGCUUGGCAUUGCCUGGGGCUUCUACCUCUUCUCAAUUGGGCCCCUGGUCACUCCUGCUCUCUACAUCUUCUGUAUUCUCAACUCUCUGCAAGGAUUCUUCAUAUUUCUCUACUUCGUGUUGACUCUCAGGAAGAUCAAAGAUUCAACGUCAUCAUCUGGAAAUAAAACUAACUCCUCGAGCGGUUGAAUUAUUAAAAGUUAGAGCUUGCUGCUCAAAUAAAACUGCAUUAUAUUUAAUGCUUUUUGUUUUGCUUUAGUAAAAGUCAUAUUUUUAAGUCCCCCCAAGUCAAGGAAGCCAUAACAGAAGCUAUUUUCUGAUGUCACCUUAUGUUUUUUAUUACAUUUUUAGUAAUGAGAGUCUAUUUAAUUUACAUAUGUGGGUUUACAAGUUUUAUUAUUGUAUUAAAGGUUUGACACAAAGAAGGAAGAAGUAGAUCUGUACAUGUGUGGCAGAAAAACAGGUUGAAGGAUGUGCUGCAGGUUUAGAUGCUUAAUGACAAAGAUGGAAAUGUGUGAAUUUGUCUUUUAUUUUUUUAGGUUACCAGUUUUAUUGAUUUAAACAAUUUUAUAUCUGUUUCCAUUAUUUCCUCUCUUUGAUUUAAGUCUUUGGAUUGUAUUUGCUUAUUAUCUUGUACCAAGUUUUUGGGUGUCCUUUGUUUUAAGUUUGCUCGUAUUUGAAUUUUGUCUUUAAUCUUUUUUUUUAUGUUUAUGUUUCUUUUUCAAGGGAAAACUUGCAUUUUAGGGGGUGCUCAAAACUGAUUUGGUAUUUUCAAAACUAUUUUUAAACAUUCUUUUCUCUUAGUUUCUGUAGAUUUGGUGUCAUCGUCCAUCCAACACAUUCUCAUCCCGAGGUGUCACAUAUUGACGUUGAUUAAGGACCUCUCCGCGUCACUUUUUGAUGUUUUUACCGUCCCCAACUCGUUGAUCUUUGACGUGCUGGCUGUUCGCAAAAUCAAGGGUCUGCAACUCGUGGGACGCGGUACCGGAUUCGCACUGGUCAUCGGGAUGUGUCCAGUACCGGUACUGGUUCACGUCUGGUACUGCGUCCAGUUCACCCCCCCUACCGCGACUGGUACCAGUUCGGGUUCGGUACCCCAUCUGCUUCGGUGUCAUUUUAGGGUAACAGGUUUGGGUACUGGU